UGUGUUUUGCUAUUUUGGCAUCUUGUGGUUAGGAACGGAUGCCUAUGCAUAUGACAGCAUCUCACUGAAUUUUUACAAAAGCUCUGAAAAAUGCUGUUAUAAAGAUAGUGAUCAAUCUAAGUGAUCAACAAUAAGCAUACAGUAACUGUUAUUCUGCUUUAUACUGAUUCCAGAAUAGAGCAAUUUUCCACUUAUCCUAAACUAGAAAUGAUAGGCAUCAUUCUGAGCAUUAUUGAACAGAACAAGAGAUUCAAGGAUUGGUUUUCUAACAGUUUUCAAAGACUGAAUUCCAAAAUUAUCCCUAGACUAUUCUAUACUGCUUUAUUCCAAGUUUCCAUUGCCUGAUACCAGGUCCUUGUUUAGGAUAAUUUCUUGAAUUUCAGAAUUAACAUUGCCUGUCAAAAAUGGCUGCCGGGGGUAAGCAUAAUAUGGAUACAAUAUGAUCUUCAGCAGAUUACUUUGCCAAAUUCUCUGAAAUAUCUUACUAUAAGGUAUUGUCCUACUUGUGCCUGAAUACAAGCAGCAAUACAAGAAGUUUUAGUUGGGAGGAAUAGUAGAGAUUUGAGUACAACAGCAAUACUGUGAAACAUUGAAAGUGGUUGGUAAAGACAGACCAUUUUGGGGAAUUGCCUGAAGAUAAUAGCAUGAAGGAUGUUGUUCUAAACAGUGUAAUGUGCAUGUAGAGAGAAACAGAAAGAAAUCUUCUAAAUGCUAUGGAUUAGAGAAUAAGUUUAAAGCUUUGCACAAUGUUUGAAAUAACAUCUAUGAAGAUAUUAACAGUGCAUAAAAAUAAUAUUUAUUUACUUGGCACAGAGAAAAAGCAGCCCCAACCCCCCCCCCAACAAACAAUGCCCAAAAUCAUGAAUUCCAUAUUCUUUAUAGGAUAACAGUAAUGAAAAUGUUGGUAGCUGGAAAUUAGAAAUAAAAAUAAAUUGCUUAGUUUUACUCACUAUUUUUAAUUACAAGUUCAUUGCAGAGAAAAGUAAGGAAAGCAUUCUGUAUUUACUUGCUUGCAUUAACUAUUAUUUUUAACUCUUUUCUUCUAAAAUUAGAAUAUACCCUGAGGGGUUUUUUUCUACAGAGACUUCGCUAGAAAUUGCUUCCUAACAAUUACAGAAAUUGAAAUCUGUCGAGUUUCUGUUCAAAAUCUGGUAAAGCAUUCUGGUUGAGGAAAUGUAGCUUCUAAUGAAAUCAGAAUAUCAAUCAAUCAGUAACAAUUGUCCAUCAAUACAGAGAAGCAAAAGUUAAUGAAACGUGCAAUGGACAAGUGAUUUAAACCAAAGGUACUUUUCAUUUUCCUGAUCAAAUGAAAUGAUGUACUUGUUUGAAGUUCUAGAAAGAUGGUGUCAUUUGUAAAUGUGCAUGUACAGAUGAAAACACAAAUCCUACAAAUGAUUUUCCGCUAGAAUUAGGGCUUGAUUUUAUACUUGUCACAGUUUUCAUUCUGACUGGGACUACUUAUUUCUUACUGAAAGCAAAAGGAACUCAAGAUGCUAAAAAUGCAGAUACUAGCCUAUCUGAACUUUGAAGAGUGCUAUAGCAAUUCUGCAUAAAAAGGCAGAUACAGACUGGGGAUUAAAAAUGCCAAAGAAUAUUAUCUUGUUUGAUGGUUCCCUAUUCCCCCCCCCCCCCGUUCUUUGAACUUAUGAAAUGUGAGAUGCAAAUAUCUGUAGUUAUAAAAAUAUGUAGUGUAAACUGAAUUGAUGAAAGUGUCUGGUUAUAUAAUUAAAGACUAUGGUUUGCCUUA